rnacentral:lncRNA from 1 species
UAACAGUUGUCUUCCCCACACUACAGACAGUGACAACCUAACGACGACGUCUGUCGAGAGAUCUUAAACCAAGCGGUCUACCAAUCACGAUGACUAAACAAACACGGUUGUACCUAGCUGUCGUCUGCUUGCUGCUUUUCAUAACACUGGAAGCGAGUUACAUCCACCAUCGCCAUCACCAUCACCAUCACCAUCACCAUCACCAUCACCAUAAAAAUUGCAGCUUGACCGGCCAACAGUGUGAUUCAUCUGUUUGUUGCUCUCCAAUGAACAAGUGCGCUUCCCGACCGCCAUCAUAUAUUCGACCAUCUUUUCGAAGGUCAAAACGUAUCUGCAAGCGACGUUUUCAUCGCAGAUAUCAACUAAGGGGAUAACAGAGAAGGUAGAUGGACGGACCUUCUCAGAAUACAAAGGGACUAAUGUCACCUGCUACCAAUGAGUAUUGGAUGCUGGAUGUACCCAAUAGUAACAACAACAGGGUGCGUCUGUCUACUGUCCGAUUCUGGGAUGUUAACGAAUAAUAGGAAGUCAUCGCACGAGUAUAAGAUCACCGAGUUCAAAGGUGUCUCUAAAUUUAUUGUAUUUCCAUUCAUUUAAAUGUUUUCUCUGUACUUUUCGAUUGCUCUGUUUGUUCAAGAAAUUCAACAAUCAAAUAUAUUCCAAUGAAAGCAAA